rnacentral:rRNA from 1 species
UACGUAGGGUGCGAGCGUUAAUCGGAAUUACUGGGCGUAAAGGGUGCGCAGGCGGUUAUAUAAGACAGAUGUGAAAUCCCCGGGCUCAACCUGGGAACUGCAUUUGUGACUGUAGAGCUGGAGUACGGUAGAGGGGGAUGGAAUUCCGCGUGUAGCAGUGAAAUGCGUAGAUAUGCGGAGGAACACCGAUGGCGAAGGCAAUCCCCUGGACCUGUACUGACGCUCAUGCACGAAAGCGUGGGGAGCAAACAGG